CUCUUAUGGCAAUGACAAAACUGGGGUCUGCCUAGGUGACCAUUCCACGUCCCUGUUCAGAGCAGCACAUGUCAGAAUGCCACACUGUUUCUACCUGUGCUUUAGUCCCCAUCUCAGCCAGUGAUGGAAGAUGCCCAGAAGGAAGAGAUGCUGCUUUAGGUUUGUUAGUCUAUAUCAUGGGAUGAUUCCUUGUGCCCAGGCACUGUGAGAUACUUGGUGAGCAAACAAGUCAUUCCCUCCUCACCUUGGCAGAGAGAUUCUGCUUUUAGAGCAGCUGAGGAUCAAGGAGAGCCUGAGGAAGGCAAUGGGGAAAUCAGAUCAUGGAAUCACAGAAUCACUGAAUUAUUGGAUCGCUGAAUCAUAGAAUCAAAGUAUCAUAGCAUCAGAGAACAGCUUGGGUUGGAAGGGACCUUGAAGAUGAUCCAGUUCCUGGUCUAGUAAGUUCCUACCCAUCAGAUCACGUUGUCCAGGACCCCAUCCAUGCUCACCUUGAUCACUUUCAGGGUUGGAAUAAAUGAACAAGAGGAAGUCACCAACUGGGAGAGUGAUGAGAAAUGAGCUAUUCUCACACCUGCUCUCUUCAUCAUGCCUGGACACUCAACAAUGAUCCUAUGGAUCAGCAAGAAUGUUGUUGGCCAACACAUGACCUUAUUCAUUCUGGGACAUGAAGGACCAGCUCCCCUGCUCUGACCACAGUAGCUCAUGUCACCUUUCCAACACCAGCCAAUAGAGUCCUCCUGUACAUUGAGAAUCCACCUGUCCUUCUGAGUGAUUCCUAUUGUAUAGGAACUGCUGCUUGAAACUUGCAAUGUCCGAACUCCAACUGACUUUUCAGAACUCAUUUCCCAACUGAAAAACUCCAUCCCAUUGCAAACAAUGGCAUUUCAACAUGAUCUGGGGACAUCCCUACAGCUACCCAACCUGCCUGAAUGGCAGGAUGCGAUGUGCCAGCAAAACAACCAGGAGGAAUCUUCUGGAGGAGGUGGCUUUGGAGCAGCAUGCCCAAGCAGAGCCUAAAAGCAGAUUUGUCAGAGAGCUCUGAAGCAGAGGUUGGUUUCUCAAUGGAGAUUCAAGAAGUUCAAGGCAGACUGAAGAGAUUCAGGGAAUCUUAUGCACAUCUUGAGUCAAUCUAAUUGCUCUUCCCCACAAGGACAAUACGAGAAGAGAGCAUCCUAAAACUGAUGAAGAGCUGGGCUGAAGUAGGCCAGUGUGACCACGGGAACCAUUUAGAGAUCCUUCCAGCAGAAUCAUCUGCACAGUGUAUGGCCCUGUUGUAGUUUUCCCUGGCAAUACCUAAAAAACUCUACAGAAACACCCUUCCAGAGCCCUUAGCUAUAGUCAGGGCUUUCUCCAGGCCUUGCAUCAUGUCCUUCCUUGCCCCAGCAGAGGAGGAUGAUGCUGUUUUUAUCUGUUGCGACCUUUCUACCCCCUUGCCUUGUGCCUGUGGGGUGCCAAGCAAGAAGUUGUUUUUGGCUUGGCUGGAAGCAACCAUGGCUUUAUGGAAAUCUGAAGCUGCUCAUCUCUGCUCACUAAGCAGGUAGGCCUGUGUCCACGCUACCAUCUCCACCGUGAGCUUUUGCCCUUCAAAUGAGUUGGGAGCAGAAAAGAAGAAAACUGGCUUUGCCAAACACAGGAGAGUGCCUGGCUUCAGUAGAUAGUGAAGAAAACAAAGGAAAAUGGUGAUGCAAUAGUUUAGAAGUGACUUCUGCUGCUCAAAUCUCUCUAAACAAG
ensembl:lncRNA